rnacentral:lncRNA from 10 species
CUGACCUCAUGAUCCGCCUGCCUCGGCCUCCCAAAGUACUGGGAUUACAGGCGUGAGCCACCGCGCCCAGCCAGCAUACUGGGCUUUCUUGUGGACUCCAAGGAAGUCACAGGCCUUCAGAAAGGGAUAUAAUGAAGAACUUGAACACUGUCAGGCCCUUUUGACCUUCAGCUCGGCUUUCUUCUGAUAUCUCUCUUUCUCUCUUUCCUUUCUAACCUCUCUUUCUCCUAAUGAUGUCUCUGUUCCAGACAUCAGGACACAUGGCUGCCAAGGUUCUUAAAGUUUUAACACAACAGCUUUAACUUCUGAAAAAGACUUAUCUCUCCUUCUCCAUUCUAGUUCCAAGACGUCCUGGAGAAGCAUUGUAAUUCGCUCACUUCAGCUGAGUUCUGACUUCUGGACCAACCAACUGUAGUAGGGGAGGUGUGAUGUGGAGAAGGGACUGUAAUUGGUCCCUAUUUGGUCAAGUGCCCAUCCCAGAACCAACCAACUGUGGCCAAAGGUUACACAGACACCACAGCUCAAAUGGUAAGCAAACUGAGGCCCAGAGGGAAAGUGAGUUGUCCAAGAUCCCAGGCUGGUGACAAAGUCACAUUGAAGAUCCAGGCCUCCCACCUUAGAGACAAUUCCUUCUUUCAUCAAACUCCUUCCCAGCACUCCUGCUUCUCCCCUCUCCCCAGGAGGCUGAGACUUAUUUAGCAUCUGGAAUGUCCCAGGACUGGGCCAAGUGUCUACAUGGAUAUUCUGCAUUUAAUCCUCCAAAUAUAUCUCAUGGAUAAGGCAUUAUUACUUAUAAUUUUAUAAUUUCCUCACAUUCAAUGUGAGGAGAUCACUUUCAAUUUACUCCCUUGUAAAAUUAUAAUAAUUUAUAGGCAGAUAAUAAUUUAUAAAGAGGAGGUCACAUCUAUCCUUCCCUCCUUCCAUAAUUAUAGAACUAUGGCCAGGCAUAGAAAGCUAGACUACAUUUUCCAGCAUCCCUUGCAGCUAGGCACAUAAUUAAAUUUUCUCCUGCAGAAUAGAGGUGAUGGAUGCCAUUUCCUGAGCAGAGCUUUUAAGAGAGGGUGCAUCCUCAACCCUCUGUUUCUUCUUGCACUGACUAGAUGCAUGUAAUGUAAGAUCCUUAGGGAGAGUAGAGACCCAAGAGAAAAGAAACCAGUUCCCUGAGUCACAGCAUGGAAGAAAGCCUCCAGCCUAUCCAAACAGCUGCUUAGACUGUUAACUGAGCACAAUGUAAGCCUCUAUAGUUUUUCAGUCAUUAUGUAAUGGCAUCUAUUUGUACAGUGCUUAGUUAUCCUAUUAUAAUGAGAUGUAACCUAGAAUGGUUAAGUAACAUACACAAAACCAUACAGAAAUGUGGUGUCCUGAUCAUGAUUAUUACUAAGGUCUAAGUCUAAAAUCUAAACUCUUAAUGCAUUAGUCUCCUAAGUGGGACACAAGAUAACUCAACAUUGAGGAAGAUAUUGUUAACUAAAAAAUUCUAUUCAUAUUUGUAUCUUUAUUUUGUGUAUAUUUUUAAAUGUACAUACCAUAUCAGUAGAGUUGUAUAUGAAUAUAAUUUACA